rnacentral:rRNA from 1 species
UACAGAGGGUGCGAGCGUUGUCCGGAUUCAUUGGGCGUAAAGAGCUCGUAGGCGGCCACUCAAGUCGAAUGUGAAACCUCGAGGCUUAACCUCGAGCCUGCAUUCGAUACUGGGCGGCUAGAGUCUGGUAGGGGGAUCUGGAAUUCCUGGUGUAGCGGUGGAAUGCGCAGAUAUCAGGAGGAACACCGGUGGCGAAGGCGGGAUCCUGGGCCAGUACUGACGCUGAGGAGCGAAAGCGUGGGGAGCAAACAGG